rnacentral:rRNA from 1 species
CAAUAGCGUAUAUUAAAGUUGUUGCAGUUAAAAAGCUCGUAGUUGGAUUUCUGGUGGGAGUGAUCGGUCUGGCGCUUAGCGCGAGUACUUGCAUCGUCUCCGGCCAUCCUUGGGGAGAGUCUGUCUGGCAUUAGGUUGUCGGGCAGAGGAUCCUCAUCGUUUACUGUGAAAAAAUUAGAGUGUUCAAAGCAGGCUUAUGCCGUUGAAUAUAUUAGCAUGGAAUAAUAAGAUAGGACUUUGGUACUAUUUUGUUGGUUUGCGCACCAAAGUAAUGAUUAAUAGGGACAGUUGGGGGUAUUCGUAUUCCGUUGUCAGAGGUGAAAUUCUUGGAUUUACGGAAGACGAACUACUGCGAAAGCAUUUACCAAGGAUGUUUUCAUUAA